GCUAUAUAGAUGAUGUUCUUUCACUAAAUAAUUCAAAAUUUGGUGACUAUGUUGAACGCAUCUAUCCCAUCGAACUAGAGAUAAAGGAUACUACAGAUACAGUUAAGUCGGCCUCAUAUCUUAACUUACAUCUAGAAAUUGACAAUGAGGGUCGGUUGAAAACAAAACUUUACGACAAAAGAGAUGAUUUCAGCUUUCCAAUUGUGA
rnacentral:lncRNA from 1 species